AUGAACGCCGCCCUCCGGGUCAUCUCCGAGGCCGACCAGAGCUCCGUCGACCACCUCGUCCGGGAGUGGGAGAAGCAGGUGCACGACCUCGCCGACGGCGCUGAGGAUUGCAUGGACACCUACUCGCUUUGCAUCGUCCGCCCCACCCCACGACCGCCGAAUGACGUCUCCGGCAGCCAGCCCAUCUUCUCCUGGGCCGGAUACCUGCUUUCGCGAGCCAAGAGCGUUGCCAGGUACCCGUACGUGAAGCUUGUGCUGCAGCGCACCCUCGCUGCUGACAUCAAGGCCCUCCUGGUCCGUACCACCAAGGUCAGCGAACGCCGCGCUCACUACGGCAUUGACCUACAAAGGUCCGCCUGGUUUGCCCCGGUCUCGGCGGCGUCUGUGUCUGCAAAUGCCCUCCGCCGUGUUGACGACCCUGAUCAGUUUGUCGGCAUCACAGAACAGGCCAACAGCCUGGCCGGGAAGAUCAAAGCGGCGGCGGUCCAUGAGGGUCUGAAUGUCUUCUCCAUUGUGGGGUUCGGAGGACUGGGGAAGACAACCCUGGCCAUGGAGUUGUGCCGGCAGCUGGACAUGGACUUCCCUCGCCAGGCGCUGGUGUCCGUGUCACAAGCCUUUGAUGCCACGAAGGACGUCAAGGGACUGCUGGUACCAGUGCUCCAGCAAAUCCUCAAGGAUUAA
rnacentral:rRNA from 1 species